AUGAACGCUAGCGACAGGCUUAACACAUGCAAGUCGAGGGGCAGCGGGGUGUAGCAAUACACCGCCGGCGACCGGCGCACGGGUGAGUAACGCGUAUGCAACUUGCCUAUCAGAGGGGGAUAACCCGGCGAAAGUCGGACUAAUACCGCAUGAAGCAGGGGCCCCGCAUGGGGAUAUUUGCUAAAGAUUCAUCGCUGAUAGAUAGGUAUGCGUUCCAUUAGGCAGUUGGCGGGGUAACGGCCCACCAAACCGACGAUGGAUAGGGGUUCUGAGAGGAAGGUCCCCCACAUUGGUACUGAGACACGGACCAAACUCCUACGGGAGGCAGCAGUGAGGAAUAUUGGUCAAUGGGCGCGAGCCUGAACCAGCCAAGUCGCGUGAGGGAUGAAGGUUCUAUGGAUCGUAAACCUCUUUUAUAAGGGAAUAAAGUGCGGGACGUGUCCCGUUUUGUAUGUACCUUAUGAAUAAGGAUCGGCUAACUCCGUGCCAGCAGCCGCGGUAAUACGGAGGAUCCGAGCGUUAUCCGGAUUUAUUGGGUUUAAAGGGUGCGUAGGCGGCCUUUUAAGUCAGCGGUGAAAGUCUGUGGCUCAACCAUAGAAUUGCCGUUGAAACUGGGGGGCUUGAGUAUGUUUGAGGCAGGCGGAAUGCGUGGUGUAGCGGUGAAAUGCUUAGAUAUCACGCAGAACCCCGAUUGCGAAGGCAGCCUGCCAAGCCAUGACUGACGCUGAUGCACGAAAGCGUGGGGAUCAAACAGGAUUAGAUACCCUGGUAGUCCACGCAGUAAACGAUGAUCACUAGCUGUUUGCGAUACAGUGUAAGCGGCACAGCGAAAGCGUUAAGUGAUCCACCUGGGGAGUACGCCGGCAACGGUGAAACUCAAAGGAAUUGACGGGGGCCCGCACAAGCGGAGGAACAUGUGGUUUAAUUCGAUGAUACGCGAGGAACCUUACCCGGGUUUGAACGCAUUCGGACCGAGGUGGAAACACCUUUUCUAGCAAUAGCCGUUUGCGAGGUGCUGCAUGGUUGUCGUCAGCUCGUGCCGUGAGGUGUCGGCUUAAGUGCCAUAACGAGCGCAACCCUUGCCACUAGUUACUAACAGGUGAUGCUGAGGACUCUGGUGGGACUGCCAGCGUAAGCUGCGAGGAAGGCGGGGAUGACGUCAAAUCAGCACGGCCCUUACAUCCGGGGCGACACACGUGUUACAAUGGCGUGGACAAAGGGAGGCCACCUGGCGACAGGGAGCGAAUCCCCAAACCACGUCUCAGUUCGGAUCGGAGUCUGCAACCCGACUCCGUGAAGCUGGAUUCGCUAGUAAUCGCGCAUCAGCCAUGGCGCGGUGAAUACGUUCCCGGGCCUUGUACACACCGCCCGUCAAGCCAUGGGAGCCGGGGGUACCUGAAGUCCGUAACCGCGAGGAUCGGCCUAGGGUAAAACUGGUGACUGGGGCU
rnacentral:rRNA from 1 species